AUUGAACGCUGGCGGCAUGCCUUACACAUGCAAGUCGAACGGUAACAGGUCUUCGGAUGCUGACGAGUGGCGAACGGGUGAGUAAUACAUCGGAACGUGCCUAGUAGUGGGGGAUAACUACUAGAAAGAGUGGCUAAUACCGCAUGAGAUCUACGGAUGAAAGCAGGGGAUCGCAAGCCCUUGUGCUACUAGAGCGGCCGAUGGCAGAUUAGGUAGUUGGUGGGAUAAAAGCUUACCAAGCCGACGAUCUGUAGCUGGUCUGAGAGGACGAUCAGCCACACUGGGACUGAGAAACGGCCCAGACUCCUACGGGAGGCAGCAGUGGGGAAUUUUGGACAAUGGGCGCAAGCCUGAUCCAGCAAUGCCGCGUGCAGGAUGAAGGCCUUCGGGUUGUAAACUGCUUUUGUACGGAACGAAAAGCCCCGGGUUAAUACCCUGGGGUCAUGACGGUACCGUAAGAAUAAGCACCGGCUAACUACGUGCCAGCCGCCGCCGUAA
rnacentral:rRNA from 1 species